rnacentral:rRNA from 1 species
AGGUUAAGUUACAAAGGGCGCACGGUGGAUGCCUUGGCACUAGGAGCCGAUGAAGGACGGAACUAAUACCGAUAUGCUUCGGGGAGCUAUAAGUAAGCUUUGAUCCGGAGAUUUCCGAAUGGGGGAACCCAGUACACAUCAGUGUAUUGCCUGCAAGUGAAUACAUAGCUUGUUGGCGGCAGACGCGGGGAACUGAAACAUCUCAGUACCCGCAGGAAGAGAAAGAAAACUCGAUUCCCAUAGUAGCGGCGAGCGAAGUGGGAAGAGCCCAAACCGAGAAGCUUGCUUCUCGGGGUUGUAGGACUGGACAUUGGAGUUACCAAAGUUCGACGUAGUCGAAGUCAGCUGGAAAGCUGCGCCAUAGAAGGUGAAAGCCCUGUAAACGAAACGGCGGACUCUCCGUCCAGGAUCCUGAGUACGGCGGAACACGUGAAAUUCCGUCGGAAUCCGGGAGGACCAUCUCCCAAGGCUAAAUACUCCCUAGUGACCGAUAGUGAACCAGUACCGUGAGGGAAAGGUGAAAAGCACCCCGGAAGGGGAGUGAAACAGUUCCUGAAACCGUGUGCCUACAAUUAGUCAAAGCCCGUUAACGGGUAAUGGCGUGCCUUUUGUAGAAUGAACCGGCGAGUUACGUUUGCCUGCGAGGUUAAGAUGAAAAGUCGGAGCCGGAGCGAAAGCGAGUCUGAACAGGGCGCUUCAGUAGGUAGAUGUAGACCCGAAACCAAGUGACCUACCCAUGACCAGGUUGAAGGUGUGGUGAAACACACUGGAGGACCGAACCCAUGUAUGUUGAAAAAUGCUGGGAUGAGUUGUGGGUAGCGGUGAAAUUCCAAACGAACUUGGAGAUAGCUGGUUCUCUCCGAAAUAGCUUUAGGGUUAGCCUCGGAGGAUGGAUCAUGGAGGUAGAGCACUGUUUGAACUAGGGGCCCGUCAAGGGUUACUGAAUUCAGAUAAACUCCGAAUACCAUUGAUCUUACUCCGGGAGUCAGACAGUGAGCGAUAAGGUCCAUUGUCGAAAGGGGAACAGCCCAGAUCACCAGUUAAGGUCCCUAAAUUUAUGCUAAGUGGAAAAGGAUGUGGCGUUGCACAGACAACUAGGAUGUUGGCUCAGAAGCAGCCACCAUUUAAAGAGUGCGUAAUAGCUCACUAGUCGAGUGGCACUGCGCCGAAAAUAUACCGGGGCUAAGCAUAAUACCGAAACUGUGGGUGCACCCGUCAGGGUGCGCGGUAGGAGAGCGUUCUAAGGGCGUUGAAGGUCGAUCGUGAGGACGGCUGGAGCGCUUAGAAGUGAGAAUGCCGGCAUGAGUAGCGAAAGAUCAGUGAGAAUCUGAUCCACCGUAUGACUAAGGUUUCCUGGGGAAGGCUCGUCCUCCCAGGGUUAGUCGGGAUCUAAGGCGAGGCCGCAAGGCGUAGUCGAUGACAAGCAGGUUGAGAUUCCUGCACUAGUUUAUUUUGUUUAAGCGAUGGAGGGACGCAGGAGGCUAAGGAAAGCGCACGGCUGGAAAAGUGCGUCCAAGCAGUAAGUCCGGUAGCGAGUGAAAUGCUUGCCGCCUUAAGGACAAGCUGUGAUGGGGAGCGAAAUUAAAGUAGCGAAGUUCCUGAUGUCACACUGCCAAGAAAAGCUUCUAGUGAGAAAUAAACUACCCGUACCGCAAACCGACACAGGUAGUCGAGGAGAGUAUCCUCAGGUGAGCGAGCGAACUCUCGUUAAGGAACUCGGCAAAAUGACCCCGUAACUUCGGAAGAAGGGGUGCUGACCGCAAGGUCAGCCGCAGUGAAUAGGCCCAAACAACUGUUUAUCAAAAACACAGGUCUCUGCUAAAUCGUAAGAUGAUGUAUAGGGGCUGACGCCUGCCCGGUGCUGGAAGGUUAAGAGGAUGAGUUAGCGCAAGCGAAGCCCAGAAUUGAAGCCCCAGUAAACGGCGGCCGUAACUAUAACGGUCCUAAGGUAGCGAAAUUCCUUGUCGGGUAAGUUCCGACCCGCACGAAAGGCGUAAUGAUUUGGGCACUGUCUCAACGAGAGACUCGGUGAAAUUAUAGUACCCGUGAAGAUGCGGGUUACCCGCGACAGGACGGAAAGACCCCAUGGAGCUUUACUGUAGCUUGAUAUUGAGUGUUGGUACCGCUUGUACAGGAUAGGUAGGAGCCGUAGAGAUCGGAACGCUAGUUUCGAUGGAGGCAUUGGUGGGAUACUACCCUAGCUGUAUGAACACUCUAACCCGCGCCACUAUCGUGGCGGGAGACAGUGUCAGGUAGGCAGUUUGACUGGGGCGGUCGCCUCCUAAAAUGUAACGGAGGCGCCCAAAGGUUCCCUCAGAAUGGUUGGAAAUCAUUCGCAGAGUGUAAAGGUAGAAGGGAGCUUGACUGCGAGACUGACAAGUCGAGCAGGGACGAAAGUCGGGCUUAGUGAUCCGGUGGUUCCGUAUGGAAGGGCCAUCGCUCAACGGAUAAAAGCUACCCUGGGGAUAACAGGCUUAUCUCCCCCAAGAGUCCACAUCGACGGGGAGGUUUGGCACCUCGAUGUCGGCUCAUCGCAUCCUGGGGCUGUAGUCGGUCCCAAGGGUUGGGCUGUUCGCCCAUUAAAGCGGUACGCGAGCUGGGUUCAGAACGUCGUGAGACAGUUCGGUCCCUAUCCGUCGCGGGCGCAGGAAAUUUGAGAGGAGCUGUCCUUAGUACGAGAGGACCGGGAUGGACGUUCCGCUGGUGUACCAGUUGUGCCGCCAGGCGCAUCGCUGGGUAGCUAUGAACGGAAGGGAUAAACGCUGAAAGCAUCUAAGUGUGAAGCCCCCCUCGAGAUGAGAUUUCCCAUUCCUAUAUGGAAGUAAGACCCCUGAAAGAUGAUCAGGUAGAUAGGCUGGAAGUGGAAGUGCAGCGAUGCAUGGAGCGGACCAGUACUAAUCGGUCGAGGACUUAACCAAGUAAAGAUCGGAACGCUAGUUUCGAUGGAGGCAUUGGUGGGAUACUACCCUAGCUGUAUGAACACUCUAACCCGCGCCACUAAUCGUGGCGGGAGACAGUGUCAGGUAGGCAGUUUGACUGGGGCGGUCGCCUCCUAAAAUGUAACGGAGGCGCCCAAA